AUGAAGCCUUACACAAAACCUGAGACUUUCCUGCUAGCCCCCAUGCUGCUCUGCACCCUCCCGGGUCUGGAGGGCUCCGUGGACGUGACCAGCUACAAGGGGUGCUUGAAAUCCAGCGAGUGUGACCCGGGAUUCCUCUCCAUCACUGUGGCUCCGGAGAACACAUGGGGUCCAACACGUGCUGCUGCCAGAGCGAUGGCUGCAACCACAAUCCCCUGCCCGGUAAGCCCCAGCUGAGCCCCACGGCUGGAGUCCCUCCCUGCCCACCCCUCCGCCCACCAGAGCCAGCUGUGAGCACCUGUCACUGACCUGCGCUGUCACCGGGGCAAGCGUCUUCCUUGCGCUGAGCCUUGGGUUCUUCUCCUGUAAACUGCAGUGUCCAGGGACUUCCCAGGUGGUCCAGUGACUAAGACUCCAUGCUCCCUAUGCAGGGGUUGGAUCCCUGGUCAGGGAACUCGAUUCCACAGGGCGCAACUAAGAUCCAGUCAAAUAAAUAUUGUUUUCUAAAAACGCA
rnacentral:lncRNA from 1 species